AUGGCCUACCGCCGGAAGCAGCAGGGGCCCGUCGCCUCCGACGACCGCCGGACUCCCCAACCCCAGAGUUUGGCUGCUUCGUCGUACAACUACACGUCGAUGGAUAGCAUGCGUGAGCCUAAGGUUGGAUUGUGGGGAGCAUUGGCAAGAAAGGCCAAGGGGAUUCUCGAUGAGGAUGCUGCUGCUCACAAGUUCGAUGACCAUGGGAAAGUUCAAAGUGCCACUCGCAAGCCCAACUUAUCGGAUGGAGCUCAGGCCCCUCAAUCUCGUUGGCCAUUCGACAGCUAUGGAGGGACAGAAAGGAGCGAACCGCGGAAGAGGUCAGAGGCACUUGCCGCUUCUGUCAACCAGUUUGGUGGAAGAAUCAGAAACGCCUUGGAGGAAGGUCUCAUUAUUGUUGAUAAUAAGACAUCAAACAUCAUCGAGGAAACAAAGAAGAUACAAAUUAGAAGAAAGCCUGACAGUUCCAGUUUGCAUAUGCAGAAUCCUGCUGCAGAUGCAUUCCCCCCUCCGAGUUUCACACUGAAUAAAGCUGAGGCAGCCCAGGAGACCCAGUUAAAAGCUUCUCGCGACGUUGCUAAUGCGAUGGCUGCUAAAGCAAAACUUGUACUUCGUGAACUAAAAACCGUUAAAGCGGACCUAGCCUUUGCGAAGCAGCGCUGCACUCAGCUAGAAGAAGAGAACAAAAUGUUGCGUGAAACUAAGCAGAAAGGGGUCAAAAUUGAAGAGGAUGAUGACCUGAUCCGCAUGCAACUGGAGACAUUACUCGCCGAGAAAUCAAGGCUGGCACAGGAGAACUCCAUGUAUGCCCGUGAAAAUCGCUUCCUGCGUGAAAUAGUAGAUUUUCACCAGUUCGCCGCCCACAAUGUCGUCUCCUUUGCUGAUGGCAAUAUGAAAGACAGCAAGCUAGAAGAAGAUACCAAUCGCGCAUACACUGAAAACAUGUUUCCGGUGGUUGAAGCCUAUUUAGCUCAGGAAGAAGUAUCUCCUGUCCCCUCGAGACCGGAUUCUCCGAUCCUCAGCCAAGGCGAGUCAUCAUCCCCAGUAUCCAUCAUUUCUGUAGAUAAUGCUGCUAAUUCGCCGAGGAACGCCUUGAAGCCAAAUGAGUUGGUGCCUGACAAAGAUUGA
rnacentral:rRNA from 1 species